ACGGGGGGUGCAAGCGUUAUUCGGAAUCAUUGGGCGUAAAGGGCGCGUAGGCGGUUUUUUAAGUCGGAUGUGAAAGCCCGGGGCUUAACCCUGGAAGUGCAUUUGAAACUGAAAGACUUGAGUAUGGGAGAGGGAAGUGGAAUUCCUGGUGUAGAGGUGAAAUUCGUAGAUAUCAGGAGGAACACCGGUGGCGGAGGCGACUUCCUGGACCAAUACUGACGCUGAGGCGCGAAGGCGUGGGUAGCAAACAGGAUUAGAUACCCUGGUAGUCCACGCAGUAAACGGUGAACACUAGGUGUAGCGGGUAUUGACCCCUGCUGUGCCGAAGUUAACGCAUUAAGUGUUCCGCCUGGGAAGUACGAUCGCAAGAUUA
rnacentral:rRNA from 1 species